rnacentral:rRNA from 1 species
GACGAACGCUGGCGGCGUGCUUAACACAUGCAAGUCGAACGGAAAGGCCCUGCUUUUGUGGGGUGCUCGAGUGGCGAACGGGUGAGUAACACGUGAGUAACCUGCCCUUGACUUUGGGAUAACUUCAGGAAACUGGGGCUAAUACCGGAUAGGAGCUCCUGCUGCAUGGUGGGGGUUGGAAAGUUUCGGCGGUUGGGGAUGGACUCGCGGCUUAUCAGCUUGUUGGUGGGGUAGUGGCUUACCAAGGCUUUGACGGGUAGCCGGCCUGAGAGGGUGACCGGCCACAUUGGGACUGAGAUACGGCCCAGACUCCUAAGGGAGGAAGCAGUGGGGAAUAUUGCACAAUGGGCGGAAGCCUGAUGCAGCAACGCCGCGUGCUGGAUGACGGCCUUCGGGUUGUAAACCGCUUUCGCCUGUGACGAAGCGUGAGUGACGGUAAUGGGUAAAGAAGCACCGGCUAACUACGUG